GAAAAAAUUUUCCCCAAUAAACAUGAAAGCAUAAUAUUAAUUUGCAGUGAAAGCCUUUGUAGUGCUUUGGGCAUUAAUUGAAAAGUCAUAUCAGAUAAUUUUAAAAGGUCUUCUUGAAUUGUUUUUCACUGUAAAUGAAGGCAUUGGUUACUAAUACUAACAAAGUAAAUGUUAAAGUACAAGUGUAUUGUAACUAUUUAUUAUACAUGUACCGGUAUAAGGCAGAGAGCAAAUUCUUCGAAAGUAUUUAAGUUUGUCUUGUUUUAUAUAAAUGUAUCUCUAAGAAUGAUUACAUUUACUUAUAAACAAUUAGCUCUGUUAUUCUACAUCUAAUGAUGUGUUGCAAGAAACUGCAAAAUUGAUUUUGGGAAACAGGUUUGCCAUAUUUAUUAAAACCAAGUCACAGUUUGAAAACACGCUCAGAUUUCGAGAAAAGAAAGCAUGUCUUGAAUUAACAUGUACAUGUAUUAACAUUGUAUGUCAUUGCAGUGUGUUACAAGAAGAAUGCUGGUGGAAUUGUCAUGUAAAUAUCCCAAUGAAAAAAAAUGUCCUCCCUAGCUUUAAUGUAGCGUGCUUCUCUGCUUUUGUAACUUAUGGUCUAUAUAGGAAACAAAAACAUUCCCACUUUCUUUGUAAAUUGCUUAGCAUUUUUUCACAUUUUCUUAAUCUUUUACAAGGGUUUGUUGAUAUCUUGAUAUAUAUUUUUUCUCUCUCUCUAUGAACAGUAAAGAAAGGAAAAAACAAAGGGAAUAAUAGGCUGACCUACAGAAUUUUGAAUGUUUUAUGUUCACUUGUGUUUCUUUUUACCAAAAUUAGACCUGUGAUUUUGUUUUUGUUUUUAAAAUUUGUUCAAAGCCAUGUAUAUAGUCAUUUUGUAUUGAUACAACCAUGUAAAAGAGCCUUACUGCAGAAGUGAAUAUAUAACCGCUAUCAUGUCAGUGACUAGCUGAUUCUACUGUAUGUGCAUUUUCAUUUUGACUGUAGAACAGAAGUAAUACAGAUUCAUGGUAGCUUC
rnacentral:misc_RNA from 1 species